UCAUCAUCGCCCCUUAUCGACCUGGGCUACACACGUGCUACAAUGGUUGGUACAACGAGUUGCGAGUCGGUGACGGCGAGCUAAUCUCUUAAAGCCAAUCUCAGUUCGGAUUGUAGGCUGCAACUCGCCUACAUGAAGUCGGAAUCGCUAGUAAUCGCGGAUCAGCACGCCGCGGUGAAUACGUUCCCGGGCCUU
rnacentral:rRNA from 1 species